rnacentral:piRNA from 1 species
UAAGCUCUGUAACCUUCAUGUUAUGUAAA